rnacentral:rRNA from 1 species
AUACGUAGGUGACAAGCGUUAUCCGGAUUUACUGGGCGUAAAGGGCGUGUAGGUGGUUUCUUAAGUCAGAAGUGAAAGGCUACGGCUCAAUCGUAGUAAGCUUUUGAAACUAAGAGACUUGAGUGCAGGAGAGGAGAGUCGAAUUCCUAGUGUAGCGGUGAAAUGCGUAGAUAUUAGGAGGAAUACCAGUUGCGAUGGCGGCUCUCUGGACUGUAACUGACACUGAGGCACGAAAGCGUGGGGAGCAAACAGGAUUAGAUACCCUGGUAGUCCACGCCGUAAACGAUGAGUACUAGCUGUCGGGGGUUACCCCCCUCGGUGGCGCAGCUAACGCAUUAAGUACUCCGCCUGGGGAGUACGGUCGCAAGAUUGAAACUUAAAGGAAUUGACGGGG